rnacentral:lncRNA from 1 species
CUUACUGGGCUAGUGUAGCUCACUCCUUAUUUAACCAUUUCAGAUCAGGAGGACAUGGUUCCCGAGCCCGUUCCGCAGGAGGACGACGAAGGGGAUGCCUAGAGACUCUGUAGUCAUACUCAUAGUUUUAUUUUCGAGUUUCUCUUUUAGUUAGUUUAAUCUUUUAUAUUUUAAGUACGUUUUUGGUUUUUUGUGUAAGGGAUGUUAACU